UAGACUUUUGCUCUUGUGCUAUGCGAAAAAUUUUUCAUUCCGCUGCCAGUGUGCGUCCUUUUCAGUAACAGUAUCGGUGAAGUGCAAGCACUAAAGACUCUGCGCAUGAAAUGCAAUUGACGCAAUGAUCGGAAUCUCUGUCACCCCCUAAGCUGACAGGUGGGCCGGCGGCAGUUCCGAACCUUGCCGCGGCUCUCUCGAGGGUUCUGAUGACACUAUCACCACCAGGCGCUCAAAGUUUAAUGUAUAUGCUGUCACAUUAUUUACUUCUGUACGAUAGGCGGUUGAUGUGGAAAUUUAAGCGCUAAAUGGAAGCUUCUCGGGCAACGGGACCGCCAAGCGGCUAUUGGAUAAGGGGUAUCCGGCGAGAGGCGUGCCCAAAUUCUUGACAACGAAACUGGUAAUUUUUCGCGGCGUGGUCUAUAUUGAAAACGUGCACACAAUGCUGAUCAGUGGUGUACUGGUAUCAUGUCGCCGCACGGAACUCUAGAAAAUACGAAUGCACGUUGGGUAGGCGUGAGUUUUCUUGAUUCGCUUUUGGCGAAAUUCAACUCGGAGUCUCUUUUUUCCUGUUCGUAUUCUGGAUCUCAUGGCAUAUCCAUGGGGUGGCUACCCUACCUGACAUCCGGACGCUUCCGUGACAUGUUGCGCAACUACAAAAAUAGUUGAUAGCGUAACGCAAAUUUGGUAUAUCUUUGUUUUCCAUUUCAUAUAUUCGGAGGUGUAUUCAGAAAGACGUCGACUGCGUGCAUGCACAGUUUGUUUUUUGUACUGGGGAGAUGGCGUUGGGGAAGAAAGGGUGGCUAGCCCUAUUCGAGCCAUCAGCAUACGUGAAUUAUUGAUAAUCGCCCGUGCACCGUUCGGUACAAAUUUAUACAAAAAACCGUUUUUUUCUGUCUAAAUCAUUUAUCAGGAUCAUUUGUGUCCUCGGCGUUUUUUGGGGGAAGCAAGGCCGAAGAGGUUAUAAUUGGACUAUUGAAUGUAUUAUAGAUCCUUCUGAUUUUUUUUUCACCUAAACCUGGAACCAACGACAGCUGUUCCAUUGUGCAUCUGAAUAUGGCGCCCACAGAUCCGA